rnacentral:rRNA from 1 species
CGGACCGGCGCACGGGUGAGUAACGCGUAUGCAACUUGCCUAUCAGGAGGGGGAUAACCCGGCGAAAGUCGGACUAAUACCGCAUGAAGCAGGGGCCCCGCAUGGGGAUAUUUGCUAAAGAUUCAUCGCUGAUAGAUAGGCAUGCGUUCCAUUAGGCAGUUGGCGGGGUAACGGCCCACCAAACCGACGAUGGAUAGGGGUUCUGAGAGGAAGGUCCCCCACAUUGGUACUGAGACACGGACCAAACUCCUACGGGAGGCAGCAG